AAAUUUUGUAAAUAUAUCCAAAUACUAAAUUAUGUUCGUAAAGAAUUUCACGUAAAUAGAACUUUUCAAACUUAUGUUUAAUUUAUAACUAAGUAUUGUCAGUCUCAUUUGAUUUUCGAAUCACAUUGAAAGUUUUAGUAUUAUGCAUUCAAAUAUUCUAUUAGUUAUUCGUUUUUGAUGUCUACCGUUAUGUUUACAAUUCGUUAAAACAGAAGUAUGUCUUAAAAACGUUAGUCAACUGGCCAGCUAAAUACUGUGUGAUCUAUCCGGCUCAAUCGAAACAAACGUCUUGGGUAAACCUGGCAAUUGUGAGAGACUGGAGAUCCCAAAAGCUACGGGCUUGAUGGCAGGAGCUAAAAUGGCAAGAGUUAUCAGAUAACGUGCGAUCCCAGGACAUGGAAACUACAUGGAAACUCAAAUAAAAUCUGCAUUCCCUCCAAACGUGGUUCCUUUUUUGCUUUGGAACCGUAAUGAGUGUCCUAAUUGUUGGAAUGGUUGUCGUUUACUUCUGUGGCUUCAAGCCCUGGAUGAGACGGUUUGAUAGACUUAUCCUUAAGGGAAAGGCGGAAGAAAAUGAAACAAACAAUGCAAUCAUAAACCCAGACAUCAUGCUAUACAUAUUCAUGUACCUGCCUUACUAUGUGUUGAAGUUCUUCGAUACAUACUCUGUCACGAACCUGCUUGGUAUAUUCAACAGGGCGAUAUAUUCGCUUUUGGGUCCUUUACGGAGAGUCAAGGCAAGAAAGUAAAAAGAUUCAUAUUUGUCAAGCCAUAUUUUACUGAGUAAAGAAACCCACCACCACUAAUUUAAUAUUAGGGCUGGUAAUUUUAACUAUAAAUUAAUUAUACAUGAUUACUAUUUUUGUCUUUAUAAGACUUUUAUAGGUUUUAUGAACCGUCUAAAAUAACAUGUAUUUUUAUUCAAAGUGGAACUGAAAAUGUAAGUUAUUUUAAAAUAAAAUAUUUAUAAAAUG
rnacentral:misc_RNA from 1 species